rnacentral:rRNA from 1 species
AACGAACGCUGGCGGCAUGCCUAACACAUGCAAGUCGAACGAGACCUUCGGGUCUAGUGGCGCACGGGUGCGUAACGCGUGGGCACCUGCCCUUAGGUUCGGAAUAACUCCCCGAAAGGGGUGCUAAUACCGGAUAACGUCUUCGGACCAUAGAUUUAUCGCCUUUGGAUGGGCCCGCGUUCGAUUACCUAGUUGGUAGGGUAAAAGCCUGCCAAGGCGACGAUCCAUAGCUGGUCGGAGAGGAUGAUCAGCCACACUGGGACUGAGACACGGCCCAGACUCCUACGGGAGGCAGCAGUGGGGAAUAUUGGACAAUGCGCGAGAGCCUGAUCCAGCAAUGCCGGGUGAGUGAUGAAGGCCGUAGGGUUGUAAAGCUCUUUUACCCGGGAUGAUAAUGACAGUACCGUGAGAAUAAGCUCCGGCUAACUCCGUG